AGAUAUGAAAACACAGUGUUUGCUAUUUUAGUAGAACAGAAGUUCAUUGUCCGAAAAGUCACUUCAGGAACGUCAGUAGUAAUAAUAUGUAUCAAAUACACGUUUUCUUUGUAUGCCUUUGCUUGAUCAACUUUCUAAAGGUCAAAGGACUUGAGACAAACGGACAAACCAGCUACUAUAACAGUGCGUUAGGAGGACUCCGGUCUUGCGCAGACAUUUGUGAGCCUCCACAUGGACCAAUACGUAGCUGUGCAUAUUACUGUGCAGAAUAUAAGACGCAGCCAGGGCAAAAUCCAGCCAAGCAAAACAACAAAAGUGGCGGUAGAUGGUGGUUCGGAUUUUUUUCCAUUCCAGUGCUAAUGUUGCUGGCUGCCGUCGCAUUGUACCUUGUAAAAAAAAAACGAAAAAACAAUAAUGGAAGUGCUCAACUUACACAAGACAUUGAACUUCAAACAAUAAUCGGGUCCUCCAAUGGUUCAUGUGUUGGUGGUGGUAUGUAUACAAGAAACAUCGGAAGAAUAUCCCCACGAACACCAACAUUUGCUUGGUUCUAGAUCUGAUCUCACGACUGCCAAUGCAACUGGUGCUAUUGUCUGGUCCGACAACGACCCGAUGGCCUUUCCUAGACAGGCGUCUACUCCCUCUGUCAUGACCAACGCCGUGCUUGACACUAUCACGCUCACCGAAAACAGCCGCGUCGCUGGCGUUCCUGGGCUCCCUCCUGUGUCGGAAGACAAUGAGGAGGGUAGUCACACUACGAACUGUACGGUCAAAGUCAAAAACUUUAAAAGGGUGAUCAUUGACAGAAACGAUUUACUGGACUGUGAUGUCACAAUUCGCACUAGAGAAACCCGGGUGUAGAGAGAGAGAGAGAGAGAGAGAGAGAGAGAGAGAGAAGGAGAAAUAGAGAGGGGGAAUGGGGGGGGGGGGGUCGUCAAGUUAUAUCAGUUAUUAGUUAUAUCAGUGUAUACGUAUUUUCUUAUCGAAACAAGCAACCUCGUGGUAUUAUAAUUAUUACAGAGACACUAUCCCAUUAAAACUGUCGAUUAAAAAAAAACCCCACAAGUAUUAACACAGGAGUGAAGAUUACCCUUUGUAACACAGUGGGCGUAACGUUUGCAUUCAAAGGGUGAUAAUUCGAAUAUAUCACGGUCAACGAACAAUAUGCCUUGCAAUGUUGCUCAUUAUGCUUAUAUAUUUGUGUAUGCAUGAUAACAUUCCAAUACAAGAGGGCUAAGGCCUAAAAAAAUAAAUUGUUUGGUUAGGGUAACAUCCUUUUCAAAAAUAGGUAGGUUAGGUAGGCUUUUUUUAUUUUUAUUUUUUUAUAAGGCUUUAUAUAAGAAUGUAAUUUAUGUAAUUUUGAUCAUUGGAGGAUAGUGUUAAAUUUUUUCUAUAUAUGUAUUUAAGGUUUUAAACUACAUAUUGAAAAAGCAUUUUUUUUGUUUCUUUUUUUUCAAAUUGACUAUAAAAACGGUAGGGUCGGCGCCUAUUCCGUAGGUAGGGUCGGGUAACCCGAACCAAAUGUAUUUUUUGUAGGCCUAAAGUGGCCUUAAAUCGCUCAAAUGAGAAAGUUUGUUAGUGGCAAAUUGUUGGAAAACUUUUUCAGAAUUAUAUUAUAAACAUUUUAUGAAUUCAGCCGUGCCUGUUUGGAUGAUAUAUUGCUUGCCAGUUGUGCGUAGACUUUAUGUAAUAUUUGACGUUUCAAAGCAAAUCUGUAGGAGUUCGCGUCACAAAGUGGUCACCCAAAGUGAUUAGAUAGUAUGUAAUGUUUGGCAAUUGAAAGGGUAAGAACUUAAUGUUGCCAUGGACACGAAAAUAAGUCUUGAACAUUUACUCAUCAUGCGUGUCACUGUGACCAAUGGUUGUCAGCCGUAAAUAGCAAAAAACGGAAGCAAUAAUUCGCGUCACAAGAGGUCGCCCGAAGUGAAAAGAUAGUACAAUGUAUAUAAGGCUAGACUAUACAAAUGGAAACUGCUCAAAGCUGCCAAGUCCAAGGCCAACAAACGUGUCUUUCACUUCUAAUCAUCGUUCAUGGCUCUUCUUCGAAUUAUAAACUCAUUCCAUGAAAACAGUAGAAGUGAUAAAGGUACGCUCAGUACAUAAUGAUGUGCAAUGUAUGGCAACUUCAGGGGCUAUAACUCUAUUUUGGCAUGGUCAAGGUCAUUUUUUAUCUUGCACUACUACUGCCCAUCGUGUUUGUCACUUCUACUGAUUAUAACGUCAUUCCAUAAAGAACUGUAAAAGUUGUUCGAGUCACCAAAAAAGGUCCCCUUAAGUAUUUACAAAUCUUUUAAUGAAAUCUGCUUAAAUAGGUCGCGUCAAUAUGUAUAUUGCAAGAUACAAAAUAAAAUUUUAGUACUAUUCUUUUGUAAACACGGAAAUAUCAUGUGUAUCAGAGGCGGCUCCAGGAUUUGACGUAAGAGGGGGCAUAACUUAGGGGCGUAACCUUUUGACUUGCGCCCCCCCCCCCCGAACCGAAAUUUAAUUGGUUUAUAGUGAAGGCAGUGGGUCUGUGGGUACUCCCUCAAGACCAGUUUUAGUUGAAAAUGGUUCAUUUAGUGCUUUUUUUGUUUUACUUUUAUUCUCUUAUAUUGAAAUAAAAAGUAAACUUGGACGAUUUGAGGCGGGGGAGGCAGGUACGCUCCGCUGGAACCGCUAGUGUGAACUGCGUAGAUCGAACGUUUAAAUGAACAUUUUAAUGCCAUACAGACACAAUAUGUCGUUUGCCGCAAAUGUUCAAAGCAUUGCUGUGAUAUAUAAAAAAAAAUCAUUAUUCGUUUAUAUGUUUUUCGUUUGUGUUUCGGCUUGUCACAUAUUUUAUAGUAGCCGAGUUGCUAAGCUAAAUUUCUAAGCAUUUUGUUAAAAUUGUUAUUUUGUAACUUGAUAACUGCAUGCAUACUGUAUGGAAUAUUACUGCUUAUGAAUGUUGUAAUGGCUCGUGAGGAUGGCCCCGACCCCAUGGUCCCUAUUACGGGACAAA